rnacentral:rRNA from 1 species
CGUGUAGGCGGGUAUAUAAGUCAGAAGUGAAAUCCUAUAGCUUAACUAUAGAACUGCUUUUGAAACUGUAUACCUAGAAUGUGGGAGAGGUAGAUGGAAUUUCUGGUGUAGGGGUAAAAUCCGUAGAGAUCGGAAGGAAUACCGAUUGCGAAGGCGAUCUACUGGAACAUUAUUGACGCUGAGACGCGAAAGCGUGGGGAGCAAACG